rnacentral:rRNA from 1 species
UACGGGGGGAGCAAGCGUUGUUCGGAUUUACUGGGCGUAAAGGGCGCGUAGGCGGCGCAACAAGUCACUUGUGAAAUCUCCGGGCUUAACCCGGAGCGGCCAAGUGAUACUGUCGUGCUAGAGUGCGGAAGGGGCUACUGGAAUUCUCGGUGUAGCGGUGAAAUACGUAGAUAUCGAGAGGAACACCUGCGGCGAAGGCGGGUAGCUGGGCCGACACUGACGCUGAUGCGCGAAAGCCAGGGGAGCGAACGGG